GAUGAAGAACGUAGCGAAACGCGAUAGUUAAUGUGAAUUGCAGAAUUCAGUGAAUCAUCGAGUCUUUGAACGCACAUUGCGCCCAUUGGUAUUCCGUUGGGCAUGUCUGUUUGAGCGUCAUUACAACAGUUCAGCGUAAGCUGGUUAUGAGUUCUGUUUUUUUAAACAAAAAACAGGCUUUAAAAUGUAUGUUCUGCAGGUCGCUUUGCUAAACCCUAAACAUUAAAUACUGUUCUAGUGAAGCAUUUGCGACUCUGCCUGAAAAAAAACUUUUGUUAAAGUUUGACCGCAGAUCAGACAAGGAUACCCGCUGAACUUAAGCAUAUCAAUAAGCGGAGGA
rnacentral:misc_RNA from 1 species